rnacentral:rRNA from 1 species
UACGUAGGCAGCGAGCGUUGUUCGGAGUUACUGGGCGUAAAGGGUGUGUAGGCGGUUGUUUAAGUUUGGUGUGAAAUCUCCCGGCUCAACUGGGAGGGUGCGCCGAAUACUGAGCGACUAGAGUGCGGGAGAGGAAAGUGGAAUUCCUGGUGUAGCGGUGAAAUGCGUAGAUAUCAGGAGGAACACCGGUGGUGUAGACGGCUUCUGGACCGUAACUGACGCUGAGGUGCGAAAGCGUGGGGAGCAAACAGG